rnacentral:rRNA from 1 species
GAUGAACGCUGGCGGCGUGCUUAACACAUGCAAGUCGAACGAAGCAUUUAGAACGGAUUACUUCGGUUUGAAGUUCUUUAUGACUGAGUGGCGGACGGGUGAGUAACGCGUGGGUAACCUGCCUUGUACUGGGGGAUAGCAGCUGGAAACGGCUGGUAAUACCGCAUAAGCGCACAAUGUUGCAUGACAUGGUGUGAAAAACUCCGGUGGUAUAAGAUGGACCCGCGUCUGAUUAGCUAGUUGGUGAGAUAACAGCCCACCAAGGCGACGAUCAGUAGCCGACCUGAGAGGGUGACCGGCCACAUUGGGACUGAGACACGGCCCAGACUCCUACGGGAGGCAGCAGUGGGGAAUAUUGCACAAUGGAGGAAACUCUGAUGCAGCGACGCCGCGUGAGUGAAGAAGUAAUUCGUUAUGUAAAGCCCUAUCAGCAGGGAAGAUAGUGACGGUACCUGACUAAGAAGCUCCGGCUAAAUACGUGCCAGCAGCCGCCGUAA